GUUCAACCUGCUGUGAUUGACAGGAGGGGUGGUGAUCUCAGAGCCACACAUUUCCAGGGCCAGGCUGGAUGCCCCGUAUAGAAGCCCAAGCCCUCCCCUGACCUGCUUCCUUCCCCAGGAGGUUUUCUCUCUCUUUCCUUUCUUCCUAAAGAAAGAAAAUAGCAACAGGAUCUCUCAGACUGACUUUAUGCUUUUUAUCUCCCUGCCUCAGUGCUAGGAUUAUGGGCACGAAACAACACAUCUGACCCCAAAGAGACCUUCAUGAAUUGUUGGGAUUGGGGGUUGGUUCCUCAGCCACCUCUUUGUACCCACUUCCUUCUUCCCAAGCAACCAGAACUGGAGGAAGAGUGUCCUUGUCUAGACCUGCUCUCAUGAUCUCUCUCUCAGGGUCCCAGAGGCUGUGACACUGUGGAAAGAAAUCCAAGCUGCCCAGCCGUUGAGCCUCCGUGUCCCAUAGUCUCAGUGUGCCCAUCUGUAACCUGGGCACAAGAAGAGUCCUGGGUCUUUGAACUUCCCAGCAAGAAACAGAGCCCUCUAGUCGGUGAUCAUGUUAGCUGGCAUUGCAGCUCUCUUCUGUGGAGAGAGAAGAAUGGGACCCCAGCACCCUGGACUCACGGUUUUUCCUAAGGAGCCCAAGGCAGCAGACUCCCACUCCUGAAAACCAUCUUCCCGAGUACAGGAAACAAAGCAAUUAGCAGCCUCUUUGUUCGGGUGUUAAUUAAUUUGUGUUUUCGGAGUGCACCUUCUUCCAGGUACAGCCCAUCAUCUCUGGGGUGCUGGCAGGGGAAGGCAAUUAGUUCCUUGUUACUGUGCAACUAAUUAUGGCCUGGAAACUGCUUGAGGAGGCUGAGAAGGAUUCCCCUACAGCUUCAGCUCAAGGGAGAGACCUCAUUCUGGAGCAGGCACCGAGGUGAGCUAGGUCUGGACCCCGGAGAAAAGGCUGUGGAGUCCAGGUGAGGAGAGUUCAGAAAGGAAGGUCUGGGUGCCCAUCUCUCCCACUCAGGAACUUUCAAGGGCUCCCUGGUUCCUACCAAGUCAAGAUCAAGCAUCAUACUUGAUGUUUGAAACUCCCUACUACUUGCUUAGAUACAACCUCUGAGCAUCAUUUCCCAUCAUAGCUACUCACGCUCUAUGUGUUCCUGGAAAACUCAAGUGCUACCUGGAUGGACUGGUAACCUUUGUCACCCAGUUCCCAACAUCUUUAUGAUCUAUCUGGGUCUGCUAAAAAAACUCUUAGUCUUUUAGUUGAGUGACUGCCCCACAGCCUUUAUUGAAGGCAAGAGGGUUCGGGACUUCAUUACUUUAGCUCCCACAGCAUCAGCCUUGACUCCAUACCCCCACGUAAAAAGGACCACAUGUGCCCAGCUUAGAUACGCUGGUCUUCUGUGUCCCUCCCAUGCUCGGAGUCCUGGUCCUCAGUGUUUAGCUCAUAGAAACAGCCUCACUUGACCUGGGUCAGGGGCUUACCUGGCUGUAUGCUAGUCUCCAAAUGGGAAGGUGGAGGAGGAGGUCCUUAACUUCACCUGCCACUGUGGGUCUCAGGACCCUGGACAUUCAGCCUCAGAGGAACCAAGGCAAUAGUUCAGAGCCAGGGCACUACUACCCCCUGAGAGGGGGGAGGUUCUAGACCAUCACCAAGACUUGGGGGCAUCCCUGACAUUGAGGCAGAGGUAAGAGGCUCACUCUCUGUCCUUGUCACAUAGGAAGGUACCUGGUGUACGUGUCUGGGGCUGGAACCUAACUCUGAGUUGCUUAACGCUCCGUUAUUUUCAGCAGCCUUCAGGAAGCCCGGGGGAGACUGGCCUUUGUCUCAGGAACAGUUUACCAGCCUAGAAAUACAGUGUCAUGGCAACCCUGCUCCUAGUGCCUCGGUCCCUAAAGGAAAUGCAUCCGUCUCACCGUCACUGUUUCUAGGUGCAGUGUUCACAGGCCGUGGGAGUGGUUCCGGCUCACUCACUGGCUAGUCUCCAUCUUAUGCCAAGGCUUGAACUGACCAGAGCUUCACAUCUGCUUGGGGCGGUUCGUGUUUGCUGUGGAAAGUGGUUCCUAACAGAAGCUAAUGUCCCAGAACGGUGGCGCUGCCUUUGGGAUCACAGACCCAUUACCUCAUGGCUAAUUGGCUGGUGGCUACGGAAGCCUGAUUGUGGAUCUGAAGUGACGGCUUUUGGAGGACCGGCAGCUUCACUGUUCAUCUAUCCACUCUCAACCUCCAGUUGUCUAUCACACAUCAGUUGUCCGCAGCCAGUGAGAGCUGGGAGAGUCUCUCUCACUUGCUUUUCAAAACUCAGAAGCUUGGAGCUCCUCCCACCCAAUCUCCGGGCCCAGUCAACUGAUCAGCAUACAGCACACACUUCUACUGCGAAAUUACUUAUUGCUCAUCUGAAAUUAAGUGAGCAUCUUCAAACACGGCCAACCUGGAAAGGGACCUGCGUGGAUGAACAUGCUGGGGCCAUGUACUCUGUCCCCAAAUGUGGCCAGAAUGGGGGUAGGAGAUGUAAAAUUGCACACAAGGUCUCUUGAUGGAUACCCACCGGUGAGCAUGCAUCUUGAUCUAGCCUUCCCAGGUUCAAAUCCUAGCUUUCCUAUGCUGAACAGCCUGGGGGUGAGUCACUUGAUGGCCUCAGUCUUCCCAUCUGUAAAAUGAGGUUGAUAUUAGAGUUUUGCUUACAGGCUUGCUAUAAAAAAUUAAACCAGCUCACGCUGUGGGCUUUGCAGAUAGGAAGUCUAAUAUAAAUAUUAACCAUAGCUCUCUCUGAUUAGUCACACAAUUAAUAUUUGUUGAACAAAGCAUUGAAUUUCUAGACCCUAACCACCCCACCCCACCCCAUUCCCACUGUAAGCAUUUAUCUGUCGCCCAACAUUUAUUCAGCAAAUAUUUAUUGAGACACUACAGUGAGCCAGGUGCUGUGAUUGACACUACAGGCAAAGAGGAACGUUUCAUCAAUCAAUUAAUGGAUUCCACGAAUCUUAGCUGAGCUCAGCUUUGGUGCCAGCGCUGACUAGAAUCUAGGGUCCACAGGGGCUACACACUCACCUUGGGAUGGGAUCUCAAGGUAUGUGGAGAAGACAAUACUUAGCAAGAGUUUGACACUGUAGGCUGUCUGCUGAAAUAGGGGACCAACAGGGUGGGUCAGAACCAAGGGCUGAGAGGAGAGGGAGGGUGCCAGCAGAUGCCUUGGGAGGGGCACAUGGAACUCUGGGAGAGGCUGGCUAGGAAGAAGGAAGCCGCUCCAGGGAGAGCAGAAACAUCUUCCCUGUCAUCCAUCAGAUUUGGAGCAGAGAGAGCUGGGUCACAGAACUUAACCCGAAAGGCAUGGACACAUCAAUAUCAGUUGAGGCGGCUGUUUGUUCCUGAGUAGACAAGCCAGCUGGCUGAUUGAAUUUUUCACUCAUCAUUAGGGUGCUGAACAGAAAUCUAGGAAACAAGGCCCUUCAGCCAGCAGCCUGGGUAUCCCUGAGUUUCGGUCCCCAGACAACAGUACCCCUCUAGGCCUUCCUGCCAGACCCUGAUGCCCAGCCUCCAUGGCUGGCAGUUUAGCGCACAGCUGGUAAGUUAAAAGCACUUUAGUGAUGAUUCCACCUCGCACUGAAGACUUCCAGGGACUGUUAAUGAAUUUAAAUGCUGGGGAUUUUCUCUGAUGCCUCAUUGCAUAUGCUCUUCACAUUAAGAUGCUAAUGAGGGCUCGAGCGGACAGAGGCACUGGAGCCAGACCAGGGACAGUGGCCUGGAAAGGGUUGCUGGCUGGUUAGGGCUUUUCUAAUUCCUUAUCAGUGCUGCAUCGGUGACCUCUCCAAGUGGGUUAACUGGCCCUGGCCUCCUUGGGGAUAGGGGAGGCAGUCAGCUGGGACUGAGUCGAUGCUGUGCCCGAAGCUGAGGCUAACGACAGGAGUCUUAGUGAGCAAACAGGGGAAUUGCUGUGAGAUUCUGUCUAUGGACUGGGACUCCAUCCAAGAGGCUGUGCCUUACAAACCCAGAUGGAUUGUGGGUGAAGUUCAGACCGCUAGUCUGAGUUCUUGAAGACUCUAAACUUGCAAGGAAACACUGAAUACCGCUGGAAUGGAAGAUUGUUCAUGAGGCCAGUAGUACAGAGUGACAGGGGUGCAUGGACUCUGGGCAAACUGGCUGGGGUGAUAAGCAGGCUGUCCCUGAGGACAUCGGAAGAGGUAGUUGGCCUAGAAUCCUCAUGGAGAUGGGAAAAUGGAGCUUGGCUUCUCUUCUUUUUGAUAAAGACAAGAGAGAGAGAGAGAGAGAGAGAGAGAGAGAGAGAGAGAGAGAGAGAGAGAGAGAGAGAGAGAGAGA